UACGGAGGGUGCAAGCAUUAAUCGGAUUUAUUGGGCGUAAAGGGCGCGUAGGCGGUCAAGAAAGUCGUAUGUGAAAUUCCGGGGCUCAACCUCGGAGCUGCAUAGGAAACUUCUUGUCUAGAGGGUAGGCGGAGAAAAUGGAAUUCCACAAGUAGCGGUGAAAUGCGUAGAUAUGUGGAAGAACACCAGUGGCGAAGGCGGUUUUCUAGCUUAUACCUGACGCUGAGGCGCGAAAGCAAGGGGAGCAAACAGG
rnacentral:misc_RNA from 1 species